AAUCAACGCUGGCGGCGCGCUUAACACAUGCAAGUCGAACGAGAAAGGGGAGCAAUCCCUGAGUAAAGUGGCGUACGGGUGAGUAACACGUGGAUGAUCUACCUCUUAGUGGGGAGUAACCUUGGAACGGGGCGUAAUACCGCAUAAGCCUGAAAGGGAAAGGAGCAAUUCGCUGAGAGAGGAGUCCGCGGCUGAUUAGCUAGUUGGUGAGGUAAUGGC
rnacentral:rRNA from 1 species